AUCCGAUUAGAGUGAAUUUUUCUAGGGUUAGUAUUUUUAAUGAUUUCUAUCGAAUGAACUAUUUAGAUUUGUGGAAUAAACCUAAUAUUAUAUUAUAUCUUAUAACUAAUCUGGCAUUAUUCAUGCUUGUGUUUUGGCAUUGAUUCAAUGUAGCCAAGCCCAUUAUUGAAAAGGCAAAAACUUAAUUUUACUCCUUGUAGAGAUAUCGAUUCUUGUUCGAUUACAGUGAAUUUCUCUAGGUUUAGUAUCCUUGAUGAUUUCUAAAGUAUGAAUGAUUUAGAUCCGAGAAAUAAACCUGAUAUAAUUUCAUAUUUGAUAACUAAUGGAGCAUGACUGUGUAAAAUAGACUUCGCAAGUUGGGUUGAGAAGUCUAUUCGGCUAAAACUCGCUCUUUACAAACGCGACUAUACUUUGGCAUAUAAAUCUCGUAUCCCCCCAUCACUUUAGGGCCCGACCCACAUCUUCUUUCCCCACAAAACCAUUUCUGUCCAUUCCAUUUACGGCUUUGCUCUUAUUCUGAGAUCACCAUUAUGACUAUUGGUGAAGAGUCUUCAAGAUGAAGAAACCCCCAUUCACCAGAUUCUCUGAAAUUCUGAGGGCUUGUGGGAAGACAGUGUGGGGGAACCCAACUGAUAUUGGGAAGGUUUUGGAAGGAGCAGUAUGUGAUGCAGUAUUGGAUAACAAUGGCAAGGACUUGAAUGUUGUGGGGCUUGUUGAUUUUGAUUCUGAAAACAUGAGUUACAUAUUGAAUUCUCUACCUCCUGGUUUUGCCUGUUGCAAUGCGGUGUGAUAUUCACUCCUGUUUUAGGCUGUUUAGAUCAUGAAUUUUUAGGGAUUUCCCAAAGAAAUCAAUAAGCUUAUUCACUUCAUUAUUAGUGUCUUUCCACUUACCUGUUUUCCCGUACAUAAAUUUCUUCACGGAUCCAUGAGCCAGACAGCAUUAAGCUUAAGAGUUGGCUUAAUGUGUUGUGGAGGGAGGACACCAUGAAGUUCAUGUAUCUAAGACUUUAGUCCACCUUACAUAACCAAACUCACUUUGUAAAGUUGAUUUCUUGAUGCGGGUAAUGAGAGCUGUCACAAGCUGUCAAGACAUAAGGAUUAAUACAACUUCAUGCUGGCAGAUUCAAUUUGUAGUACUUGAUUUCCUUGCUUAAUACUCUGGUUCAAGUCUCCCUACCCGCUUAAUGGGGUGAAACAUACUCUUUAGUGCUCGUAGCACGAGGCAGACCCAACCUUCGGUCCCGACAUAGGUUCUGUGGGAUUCCUGCAGAUGGCUAUGUGGGGCUGAGGACAAUAAUCUGUCAAGGAUAUGUAUGGUAGUACUAGUAUAUAAUUUAAGCGCCCACAAAAAGGAAAGGAUUGGGAGAGAUGCACAAUGAGGUCCUAAACAGAAAAGCAUUGCAAUUCAUUCUUAUUUGCAAAGUGAAGUAGUGAACUGAAUGAUUUAUUUGGGAAGUAAUCUCUAGAAUUCAUUCUACAAUAGGGCUUGCUAUGUUGACAGUUGCAACAAGCAAAACAUGCAUAGGCGGUUCUCCUGUUUAUUUCCAUCAUUGCAUCAUAUGAGGUCAUAUAUGAACUCAACCUCAGAGGGCUUGUUUGUUUAUUUGUAGUGGUGUAAGUAGUCCCAUUUGAUUUAUAGAACCAUUUGAAUUGCGAUGUAUAGAAAUUUACAUCUAUUUUCUAUCUUAAACAACCUUUAUAGUGUUGGGUGAGGCUGUUUGAACAGAAUGAUGUGGAUGAGGUAGAAGAAAUAUUUUGGGCUUAUGGCAUUUAGUUUUAGUCUUAUUGUAAAAGAACUCAUUGUUAGAAAGGCAGUGUUAAUGUCUGUUGGAAAACCUAAAAGAGAAUAACAAAUGCAUAAAUUGAUAGCUUAUAUGACAAUCUCAUGGUACCUUCUCUUUUGUUAAGAGCCAUGAAAAGACCUGUUCCCAGUUCAUUGAUUCCAUUCUAUGGCUUUUAAGCUUCCUCAUCCAAUCUGCUUCAUACUUUUUCUUUUGCAACCACUGCUCAAUCUCCAGCAAUAUUACUAUUGGUUCAUCACUUACUGCAGAUGUUAACAACUCUUCUUGGGUAUCAGUGAUCACCAUCCGGUGGCUUUGCUUUCAGCUUCCAACAUAUUGGAACCAGAGACUACCUGUUAGCCAUCUGGUUCAACAACAUACCCUGAAAGGCCUUAGUUUGGCCAGCAAAUGGAGCUACUAUAGCCCCAGAAGGACCCAAAAUUCAAUUUGUGACAGAUGGGAGUUUUGUGCCCUUUGAGCCGAAAGGGCAGAAGAUAUGAUCUUGAUUUGACCGAUACUGGUGUUUCCCAUGCAGCCAUGCUUGACACUGGUAACUUCAUGCUAUCAAGCAACAAUUGCUCUGUUACUCAGUGGCAGAGUUCUGAUAAUGCAACGGACAUGAUAUUGCCAACACAUAUAUUGAGCCAAGGCAUCAGACUUGUGGUCUGUUUCUAAGAAACAAACUACGCAAUUGGAAGAUUCAAAUUCAUUAUGCAGCCAGAUGGGAAUCGGGCGCUUUACACCUAAUUAUCCGCCAAGUUAUGCCAACUCUACUUUCUGGGCAACCAUAACUAUUGGCAGUUGAUAUCAGGUGGUAUUCAACCAAUCUGGAUUCUUAUAUCUAGUAGCAAGGAACGAAUGUAUACUUGAUUUUGUAUCUUCAGAUGCUGCUUCAACUAGCCAGUUUUACUAGCGUGCGAUAACUGGGCAUGAUGGAGUUCUAAGGCAAUAUGUUUACCCAAAAUCUGCUAACUCAGCCGGUGGAAGGCCUAUGGAAUGGACUGUUUUGUCCUUCAUUACAUCAAAUAUUUUGCUUGGUAAUUGGGGAAGCUACAGGAGGUGGUGCUUGUGGGUUCAAUAGCUACUGCAUUUUGCAAAGUGAUCAAAAUCCAAGAUGGGAGUGCCCAUCUGAGUAUGCGUCUUUUGAUCCAAAUAAUGAGUUGAGUGGAUGCAAACCCACAUUUGUUCAACAAAAUUGUAAUGGAGAGCUUUUUGGUUUCGCCGACAUGCCACUGGCCUUAUUCUGACUACAAAUGAUAUAGUGGUAUUACAUGAGAAGGCAAUACAUGAAAGACCACAACAGAUCAUGAUAUCACUAAAGACGCAAAAUGGAGAGAAGAGAGACAGAGGGAUGACAUAAGAAAAAGGACCAAAACUGUGCCGUUUCGGCCGCAAGCAGGGAUAUGGGGCACUACAGGAUCCACGGUUCCAAUUAUGCGGGGCUCAAGUUAAUCGUAUGAAUUGUGGUAGAGAAGGGCUUGAGACUCUACGUGGCGUUGACCUACGGACGCUGAUAAUUUCACCAAUUAUAAUUUCAAGUUUUCAACAAUGCUACACACAUAAUCAUUCAAAUACUACAUCAAACACAUGUGGGAGGUUGUAUUUGGAUUGUUGUGAGUAUUAUUUUUGUUAUAAUUUUGUUCGGUCUUGUUAUUGUCAGUCUAUUAGGCUGACGAAAAGUACACUAGAAAAUAAGAAAAAUACGUAAUUCUGUAUACUUUUUGCACCCUUUAAUACACAUUCACAC